ensembl:lncRNA
GGCACUGACAGGAUACUGGAAGUCAGGAAGUGAGGAGAAGGGAUUUAUCUAUGGCUUCCAGUUUCUAACAGUGUCUCAGGUGGCAAUGAUAGUCAUUACUGAAGGGACAGUGUUGCCAAAGUGCCACCCCAGGGGGGGGGGGGGCAGCACCUCAGCAGCAAAUCCAGAAAUGAUGGCAGUGGUGUCUCUAUCAGCACAGUGGCAGGUACAGGCUCGUGAACCCAGUCCAGGAGCACUGCCAUCGUUUAGGUAUCAUCCUUCUCAUUUUCCACCCUCCACCUCCCCCCUUCCUUAUUUUCUCUCUUCUAUUACUUGUAUAACCAAUUCCUUGGGUUACAUUUCCUCCAACUGGGAGUUCCCAUUAUGGCUCAGUGGUAACAAACCUGACUAGUAUCCAUGAGGAUGCCAGGGAUCAAACCUGCAACCUCAUGGUUCCUAGUUGGAUUCGUUUCCGAUGCGCCACGGGAACUCCCAGUUUUUGUUUUAAGAGAAAUAUCUUUUUGUAACUAUGACUUACGUCAUGAACAAAGGAGGAAAAUGGGUUAGGAGAGCAAGAGUGUGGAUUCUAGAAUAAGACAGCCUUGCCUGGGUAGGUAUGCCGUCUGCCACAUCCUAGCUGUGUGACCUUGGGAAAAUUCUUGACCUCGUUGUUUUCCAGUUACCUAACAGACUGGAAAGAAAAUGAUCCCUACCUUAUAGAUUAUUAUAAGAAUUGAAUUAGAGAAUGAACACUGUGCCUACAACAAUGUCCAUAUAUAGUAAAUGCUUGGUUAAAUGCUAGCUAUUGAUAGUGUUAUUACCACUAAAGAGAAAGUAUUGAAGACUGAGGGUGGAGAUUCAGUAGUAUAGCAUUUCUAUUAGCCUUCAUUGUCAGAUAUGUUUGCUGGGUGCUGCCAGAGAUUCCUAGUUUGAAAUGAAAAUAAAUUCAUCAUAGGACAUCCUCACUGGAAAUUCCAGAUUUGUGUUUACCCUUCUGACGAUUAGUCAUCGUUUCAGGGCUCCUCUUCAGGUUUUGUGUAUACUUAUCAAAGAUACAACGAGUUAAGUCAAAAGUGUGCAAAAGUCAGGAGGGUCAGACUGGUCAGUGAUGAAGCUGUGAACCCAUCAGAAGGGUGGAGGUCAGAGAGUGACCCUGCUUGAGGCUAUAGGAAGUCAGAAAAGCAUAUAGCUUUGAAGAAAAAAAAAAA